rnacentral:misc_RNA from 1 species
AACGGGGGGGGCUGGCGUUGCUCAACUUUACUGGGCGUAAAGGGCCUCUAGGCGGCUUCUUCAGUGGAAUGCUUAAAUGCCCAAAGCUCAACUUUGGGAUUGGUUUCCAUACGGAGUUUGGCUUGAGUUUGGUAGAGGAUGGCAGUAUUUCCGGUGUAGAGGUAAAAUUCGGCGAUACCGGAAGGACUCUCGCCUUGCGAAGGCGGCCAUCUGGGCCAAUACUGACGCUGAAGGGCGAAAGCGUGGGGAGCAAACAGG